rnacentral:lncRNA from 1 species
AGUCAAAUUCCAGUUCAGCUAGCUGCUAUACCAACCCUCCAAAUCUUGAAAUUGUAUAAUAGUAGACAUGCAGCAGCCUCUGCGAUUAGGAUACGUGACGAGAUCCGAGAACACAUGCAUGAACAAAGGCCGAGGAGGAACGCAACCAAAUUCAUGCUCUCCAUUUACCCUCCAAUUGAAUGACCACCGUUGCCACUUGCCAGGUGAGCUAAGCUAUCAAUUAUUCAAUAUAUACAAUUUUAGCUUUCUAAUCCUCUUCUCCCUGAUAAGGAUAGUUUUCUUAUUUGACUUGAUUACUUAUGAGAUUAAAUCAGGCGAAUAUUGGUUGUUUCGUGCUUUAAUUACACUAGGUUCUUACUAUUAAGACAACUCUGCCUCAUGUCCCCCAAAAAUGUUAAGGUUUUGUACAUUGGUGUUUUAUUUAUGUACGACGUUGUCAUUUUUCUUUUUCUUUUUUGACUUGAUGUCUUUAUUUUUCUUGAUACGAAAUAAGUUUUGAUAAUUUAUCUGUCUAUAUCUAGCCUCAGGCUCGUAUUUAUCAAUGUUGUUAUAUGGUGCAGAUGUCACUCAGAAGUUUCCAAAGAGAUUAUGGAAGAUGCCUGCGUAGUAAUCUUCUCGACAAAUCUCGUAAACUAGCUUCAGUAAUUGAAUAAAUGUUGUACUUUGGUUGUUUUCCAUUAAGAAUGUUGUUUUUUUUUUUUUGGUGGAUUAAGAAUGUUGUUUAUUGUGUGAUAAUACAUAGUAGCACAUUUGGUAAAAGAAAUAAGUUAAAUAUCACCAUCCAUAAAAAUAUAAGUUUAGU